UACGGGGGGGGCAAGCGUUGUUCGGAAUUACUGGGCGUAAAGGGCGCGUAGGCGGCCAGCACAAGUCAGUUGUGAAAUCUCCGGGCUUAACUCGGAAAGGUCAACUGAUACUGUGCGGCUAGAGUGCAGAAGGGGCAACUGGAAUUCUCGGUGUAGCGGUGAAAUGCGUAGAUAUCGAGAGGAACACCUGCGGCGAAGGCGGGUUGCUGGGCUGAUACUGACGCUGAGGCGCGAAAGCCAGGGGAGCGAACGGGG
rnacentral:rRNA from 1 species